rnacentral:rRNA from 1 species
ACGUAGGGGGCGAGCGUUGUCCGGAUUUAUUGGGCGUAAAGAGCUCGUAGGCGGCUCGGUAAGUCGGGUGUGAAACCUCCAGGCUCAACCUGGAGACGCCACCUGAUACUGCUGUGGCUAGAGUCCGGUAGGGGAGUGUGGAACUCCUGGUGUAGCGGUGAAAUGCGCAGAUAUCAGGAAGAACACCAGCGGCGAAGGCGGCACUCUGGGCCGGAACUGACGCUGAGGUGCGAAAGCCAGGGGAGCAAACGGGA